UUCCGGUUGAUCCUGCCGGAGGUCACUGCUAUUGGGAUUCGAUUAAGCCAUGCGAGUCGAGAGGGUUCGGCCCUCGGCUGACUGCUCAGUAACACGUGGAUAAUCUGCCCUUGGGUGGAGAAUAAUCUCGGGAAACUGAGAAUAAUACUCCAUAGAUCUAGGAGGCUGGAAUGCAUCUAGGUUGAAAGCUUCGGCGCCUAAGGAUGAGUCUGCGGGCUAUUAGAUUGUAGUCAGGGUAAUGACCUGACUAGUCUACGAUGGCUACGGGUUGUGAGAGCAAUCGCCCGGAGAUGAUAUCUGAGACACGAUAUCAGGUCCUACGGGAUGCAGCAGGCGCGAAAACUUCACACUGUGCGAAAGCACGAUGAGGGAAUCCCAAGUGCCAGCUCGUAAGAGUUGGCUGUUUUUUUGUCUAAAAAACAGAGAGAGUAAGAGCUGGGUAAGACGGGUGCCAGCCGCCGCGGUAAUACCUGCAGCUCGAGUGGUGACCGCUAUUAUUGGGCCUAAAACGUUCGUAGCCGGUUUCGUAAAUGCUUGGGUAAAUCGUUUGGCUUAACCAAACGAAUUCCGGGUAGACUACGAGACUUGAGAUCGGGAGAGGCUAGAGGUACUCCUGGGGUAGAGGUGAAAUUCUGUAAUCCUGGGGGGACCACCAGUGGCGAAGGCGUCUAGCUAGAACGAGUCUGACGGUGAGGAACGAAGCCCUGGGGCGCAAACGGGAUUAGAUACCCCGGUAGUCCAGGGUGUAAACGCUGCUCGCUUGAUGUUAGAUAGGCUCCGAGCCUAACUAGUGUCGGAAAGAAGUUGUUAAGCGAGCUGCCUGGGGAGUACGGUCGCAAGGCUGAAACUUAAAGGAAUUGGCGGGGGAGCACAGCAACGGGAGGAGCGUGCGGUUUAAUUGGACUCAACGCCGGA
rnacentral:rRNA from 1 species